rnacentral:lncRNA from 1 species
GGGGCCAGAAGCAGCUAUGGCAGCUGAGAUAUGGAGCCAGGAAUCUGAGAACGGGGAGAUUCCCCGUUACCACCAGAGGUCUACACUCUGGAAGAGAAGCGGGAUACAGACUGGCUGUCCAGGUAAGCCCAGCUAUCUGAGCUGCAGCUCAUUAGACUUUGGUUAAUUUGUUAUUAAUUCCUCAGGAGCACCGAACAAUCCAAACAAGAUGCAGAAAUCAAUGGCCAAGGAAAAGACAAAGCAACCUUCUAAGCAGAAUGUGAGUGAGGAGAGUGGCUUUAAAAAGGCCUCGACAAACUAUUUGAGGUGCAGCCUGUAAAGUGGAGAAUAAAUGCCUUUUUUACAUUGGUUCAUAUUUUUUUUUCAAGUUGGAAAGAGGAGAGGUAAUGGCCUAGGGUGAGGAGCCUGGCUGGCCUCACAAUGCCAAGCUAAUUAU